rnacentral:sRNA from 1 species
AAUAGGAGCCAGCCAUAUGUGCGGAGCACAUAUUUAGGAUGCUGGCGACGACAUGCCGCCGAGCGGAUGCGAGGGGGCGAUACUUGAU